rnacentral:lncRNA from 1 species
AUCCCGUCUCUCUCAACCCCUUCACAUUUUCCCUCCCCACCCUAAUCCAAGUCUGAAUCAGGCUCUCCCCUCGCUCCUCCACUAGGUUGCCCGAUCCAUGGUUGCCGACGUUCUCCGUCUCGAGGCCGUCAGCCGUACCUCAGGGUGCCCUCUUCCAACGACCACGGCUGCUUCCCACCUCCCCACCUCAGCCCUACCUCCGGCGAGCACUGAAUCCAUGUGCGGGCCUCCUCCUGGUCGCCGAUGCCAGCCCAGAUCGAUGACAACAGCUAGGAGAAAGAGCAGAUGCAGGCUAUAGAUCUGGCUGUGAACAGGUGAUGUUUUUUUGGAGCUUGAGGCUGCAGUUCUUGCUUUUUUCUGAACUUGGUUUAUGUUAUUGUACAGUUCUGCUUUUGGUUCCAGGGGUUUUGCACGGACGUUGUAAACAUGUGGGCGCUCACUUAUUUGGACUUGGAUUAUACUGUUAAUUUUAGAUGCUAGCAUGGUUGACAUGCAGAAACUUCACAUGCAUGGAAGAUAUGUACUACGUACAAUUCAUUUGCAACAUCUGUACUCUAAGUGCUUCUAUACAUUUUUCAAACUUGAUUGUAGACCUGGCUGUUCCUUUGUACAUCUGUACUGCAAUGUUGUGUGUACGUCUAGAGGUUUCUUGGCGGACUGCUAGCUGUGUGCAUUGAUGUAUCUUUCCCGGUUAUAUUUACUGUCAAAACGAGCACAUGUAAGUUGUUUGGUUAACAAACUAAUGGAAGGUAUUUCAAGUGUUUUUCUUGUCCAUAUAUGUGAUUAUCCUGUCGGAAAGUUGACUUCAUCAGAAAAUAUUCAGCAUAUAUUAUUUCUCUCUGCGUGUUGAUUUUCCAG